CCUCAUGGUGAAACACUGAAAGACGGUUUCGGCUGUCGCUAUAGGAUGGGCCCGCGGCGCAUUAGCUAGUUGGUGAGGUAACGGCUCACCAAGGCGACGAUGCGUAGCCGACCUGAGAGGGUGAUCGGCCACACUGGGACUGAGACACGGCCCAGACUCCUACGGGAGGCAGCAGUAGGGAAUCUUCCACAAUGGGCGAAAGCCUGAUGGAGCAACGCCGCGUGAGUGAAGAAGGAUUUCGGUUCGUAAAACUCUGUUGUAAGGGAAGAACAAGUACAGUAGUAACUGGCUGUACCUUGACGGUACCUUAUUAGAAAGCCACGGCUAACUACGUGCCAGCAGCCGCGGUAAUACGUAGGUGGCAAGCGUUGUCCGGAAUUAUUGGGCGUAAAGGGCUCGCAGGCGGUUUCUUAAGUCUGAUGUGAAAGCCCCCGGCUCAACCGGGGAGGGUCAUUGGAAACUGGGGAACUUGAGUGCAGAAGAGGAGAGUGGAAUUCCACGUGUAGCGGUGAAAUGCGUAGAGAUGUGGAGGAACACCAGUGGCGAAGGCGACUCUCUGGUCUGUAACUGACGCUGAGGAGCGAAAGCGUGGGGAGCGAACAGGAUUAGAUACCCUGGUAGUCCACGCCGUAAACGAUGAGUGCUAAGUGUUAGGGGUUUUCCGCCCCUUAGUGCUGCAG
rnacentral:rRNA from 1 species